rnacentral:rRNA from 1 species
GCGGUAUCUUGACCGUGCAAAGGUAGCAUAAUCAUUAGUUUCUUAAUUGGGAACUUGUAUGAAUGGUUGGACAAAGAAAAAUCUGUCUCUUGUAUUAAAAUUGAAUUUAACUUCUGAGUGAAAAGGCUCAGAUUAGCCAGAGGGACGAUAAGACCCUAUAAAGCUUUAUAAAUUUAUUAAUUUCUUCUAUUUUUUUAUAAUGAUGAUGUUAAGAAGAUUUAUUUGGUUGGGGCAACCGAAGUAUAAUUUAAGAUAACUGCUAAUAUUUUAUACAAUGAUUUUUGUUUUAAUAAUAAUUGAUCCUUAAAAAGAUUAAAGACCAAGUUACUUUAGGGAUAACAGCGUAAUUUAUCCUGAGAGUCCUUAUCAAAGGAGAAGUUUGCGACCUCGAUG